CACCAUGCAAGUAAAUCUCUUCAGCGGAGAGAGAGUGGUUCGUACAUAGACUGAACGUCCAGAGGAAGUGGUGGAUGUGGAUUCAGUUGCAGUGUUUAAAAGACGUUUGGGAUGUGGGCAUCGCAGGCCCAGGAGGGACAGGUGACUUUGGGCCUGCUAUCCCCCAAGCUUUCCAACGCUGGGGGCUCUCCACGCCUAUGUUGCAGACUCUUGGAUGAAGACUGAUCGCUGGAGUUGGUCAAGGGUGACAUCAUCACCUGAUGACGAGGAUGACGAACCUGAACAACCUGGACUCAGCACGUCCUGCCUUCCCACCAGCACACGCUCGAGACGAAUUACCUCAGCUCCAAUCUGGGCCGGGAUGCUGACAAACUCAGGGUUGGAGGCAAACGCCGUCAGGUUUUCCACAGCCUCGAUUAAAGGGGAAGUGGCUAACCUGCACUUGUCUCGAUUCUCUUCGGAGAAGUCACCAUCAAGGGCCUGAGAACCAAGGAACAGAAGGAGUGAACACUGCACCAGGUUGGCGGUGCUAUUGGCAACUUCCUUGGCCGACUGGACAAAGUGUCGCUUGGCAACCGGGUUGGCGGUUUUGGAGGAGGCGAUCCGGCAGGCGUUGCACAAUGCCGAAGUGUGUUUGGCGACGAUGGUAGCAGCAGACAGCACCUGCGCGAUGAGAGUUACGCAUUACCACGGACGCCAAACCCGAACAGGAGCAGCAACUGACCUUUCGCCAACAUUGCUGUGCCCCGCCUUUUUACCUGUGAUGGACUACUUGCUGGAUCCACUAGAUUCUGACACGCCAUCUGGAUCGCCUGAUUGGCCCGAGCAAACUGGAUGGGAUCCACUAGCCCCUGGUGCCCGGCUUGGCUGUUGGGAUCAGAUAUCCCAACCAGGUAACCAGCCUGCAUGAAGGGAGAUGUAAUAAAACUCAGUAAAGAGUUGGAUUGACAAUACGUUGGUAUCCCAACCCAUCCUCACAGCUAACUUUGAGUGCAAUGGAGUUCUUAAGCAUCGAGAAUUUAAAACAAGGACCUGCA